rnacentral:pre_miRNA from 1 species
GGGGGGAGGCCGGAUCUUGGGCUGUGUCCCCACCACCCUGGCUCGGAGGCCUGCGCUGUUGGAUUCGUCCUCCCGGGACACGCAGCCCCCU